UACGGAGGGGGCUAGCGUUGUUCGGAAUUACUGGGCGUAAAGCGCACGUAGGCGGAUCAGAAAGUCAGAGGUGAAAUCCCAGGGCUCAACCUCGGAACUGCCUUUGAAACUCCUGAUCUUGAGGUCGAGAGAGGUGAGUGGAAUUCCGAGUGUAGAGGUGAAAUUCGUAGAUAUUCGGAGGAACACCAGUGGCGAAGGCGGCUCACUGGCUCGAUACUGACGCUGAGGUGCGAAAGCGUGGGGAGCAAACAGG
rnacentral:rRNA from 1 species